rnacentral:rRNA from 1 species
GAUGAACGCUGGCGGCGUGCCUAAUACAUGCAAGUCGAACGCUUCACUUCGGUGAAGAGUGGCGAACGGGUGAGUAAUACAUAAGUAACCUGGCAUCUACAGGGGGAUAACUGAUGGAAACGUCAGCUAAGACCGCAUAGGCGUAGAGAUCGCAUGAACUCUAUAUGAAAAGUGCUACGGGACUGGUAGAUGAUGGACUUAUGGCGCAUUAGCUUGUUGGUAGGGUAACGGCCUACCAAGGCGACGAUGCGUAGCCGACCUGAGAGGGUGACCGGCCACACUGGGACUGAGACACGGCCCAGACUCCUACGGGAGGCAGCAGUAGGGAAUUUUCGGCAAUGGGGGAAACCCUGACCGAGCAACGCCGCGUGAAGGAAGAAGUAAUUCGGUAUGUAAACUUCUGUCAUAGAGGAAGAACGGUGGAUAUAGGGAAUGAUAUCCAAGUGACGGUACUCUAUAAGAAAGCCACGGCUAACUACGUG